GACGAACGCUGGCGGCGUGCUUAACACAUGCAAGUCGAGCGGAAAGGCCCUUCGGGGUUCUCGAGCGGCGAACGGGUGAGUAACACGUGAGUAACCUGCCCCAGACUUUGGGAUAACCCUCGGAAACGGGGGCUAAUACCGGAUACGACACAGCUUCGCAUGGGGUCUGUGUGGAAAGUUUUGCGGUUUGGGAUGGGCUCGCGGCCUAUCAGCUUGUUGGUGGGGUGAUGGCCUACCAAGGCGACGACGGGUAGCCGGCCUGAGAGGGCGACCGGCCACACUGGGACUGAGACACGGCCCAGACUCCUACGGGAGGCAGCAGUGGGGAAUAUUGCACAAUGGGCGGAAGCCUGAUGCAGCGACGCCGCGUGAGGGAUGACGGCCUUCGGGUUGUAAACCGCUUUCAGCAGGGACGAAGCGUAAGUGACGGUACCUGCAGAAGAAGCGCCGGCCAACUACGUG
rnacentral:rRNA from 1 species